AUUGAACGCUGGCGGAAUGCUUUACACAUGCAAGUCGAACGGCAGCACGGACUUCGGUCUGGUGGCGAGUGGCGAACGGGUGAGUAAUGUAUCGGAACGUGCCCAGUCGUGGGGGAUAACGUAGUGAAAAUUACGCUAAUACCGCAUACGAUCUAUGGAUGAAAGCGGGGGAUCGCAAGACCUCGCGCGAUUGGAGCGGCCGAUAUCAGAUUAGGUAGUUGGUGGGGUAAAGGCCCACCAAGCCAACGAUCUGUAGCUGGUCUGAGAGGACGACCAGCCACACUGGAACUGAGAAACGGUCCAGACUCCUACGGGAGGCAGCAGUGGGGAAUUUUGGACAAUGGGCGAAAGCCUGAUUCAGCCAUUCCGCGUGCAGGAUGAAGGCCCUCGGGUUGUAAACUGCUUUUGUACAGAACGAAAAGGUUUCUACUAAUACUAGGAGCUCAUGACGGUACUGUAAGAAUAAGCACCGGCUAACUACGUGCCGGCCGCCGCAGUAA
rnacentral:rRNA from 1 species